rnacentral:rRNA from 1 species
UACGGAGGGUGCAAGCGUUGUCCGGAAUCACUGGGCGUAAAGGGCGCGUAGGCGGCCCGGUAAGUAGGGGGUGAAAUCCUGCGGCUUAACCGCAGGGCUGCCUUCUAAACUGUCAGGCUAGAGCACAGUAGAGGCAGGUGGAAUUCCCGGUGUAGCAGUGAAAUGCGUAGAUAUCGGGAGGAACACCAGUGGCGAAGGCGGCCUUCUGGACCAGUACUGACGCUCAUGCACGAAAGCGUGGGGAGCAAACAGG